GGCCCCGUGUUGCAAAGGUAGCAUUUUUCUCUUCUAUUGCACGAGUCGAAGAAACGGUUGCGGGUUCGAGCCCCGCCGGGGCCU